GGGGGGGGGGGGGGGGGGGGGGGGGGGGGGGGCUGGAAGGUGCUGGAAGGGGCUGUGCCUCUCCUGGGUGCUGCAGCCCUGGGAUGGGGCUGUCCCUAAGGGAUCACAGGCACUGCAGUCCCUUUGCUUUGUGAAUUCCCCGAGCACACACCCCAGGUCCUUCUCCACCCCACUGUGUCCCACAGCCCCACUGCUCAUUGUUCCAUGGCAACCAGGAGCUGAACAGGCAAAAACUUCACAUUGAACGAGCACACACCCCUGGUCCUUCUCCACCCCACUGUGUCCCACAGCCCCACUGCUCAUUGUUCCAUGGCAACCAGGAGCUGAACAGGCAAAAACUUCACAUUGAACCUGUGUUUUGUCACAAAUGUAUGAAUGGGAUCUUGUGACUGUAACAUGUUUAGGUCCUGUUAGGCUUCAGUGCAGCAUGGUUACUACUUGAUUUCUGAGGGCAGUGGCAGGAGUGAAUAAGAAUGCUGUGGCCAGUAACGUUAUUGAUGUCAUUGGCAGGUGAUACAAUAAUCCAUGAUGUCAUUGGCAGGUGAUACAAUCAUCCAUGUGACAUACAGAGUUACAGCAAACAGUGUAAGGGUUCAGUAGGGUUGUCCCUGGGCUGAAAUGUGGAGGCCAAAUACAAAGGCUGGGAAAAUGUUCCUUCUGUGUAGGUGUGACACCCACAGACUGAAGUGUGCUGUGCUGCCGCAGACUCAGUUUGAAAUCAAAGCAGAGGCCGCUCCUGCCACGUGCACAUCAGAGCUCCACGGAGACAGGGAGACGAGGGAGCAAAGCUGAUAUGACAAUAAAGAGUAACAUCACAUCUAACAAGCCAGUGGGAAUGGGAAGCAAGGGGAGGUAGACACUUUAAAGUGUUCUCUGCAGGUGUGAGUUAGGCAUGCUGCAUGUUUUGGCUCCUGGGGGUUGGUACUACAAACAUUUUGAAUUAUAGCCACUUUAAAGGCCGCAGGAACCU
rnacentral:lncRNA from 1 species